rnacentral:rRNA from 1 species
UGGGGAAUAUUGCACAAUGGGCGCAAGCCUGAUGCAGCCAUGCCGCGUGUAUGAAGAAGGCCUUCGGGUUGUAAAGUACUUUCAGCGAGGAGGAAGGCAUUAAGGUUAAUAACCUUGGUGAUUGACGUUACUCGCAGAAGAAGCACCGGCUAACUCCGUGCCAGCAGCCGCGGUAAUACGGAGGGUGCACAGCUAGUUCGAAUUCAGAUCACUGGGCGUAAAGCGCACGCAGGCGGUCUGUCAAGUCGGAUGUGAAAUCCCCGGGCUCAACCUGGGAACUGCAUUCGAAACUGGCAGGCUAGAGUCUUGUAGAGGGGGUAGAAUUCCAGGUGUAGCGGUGAAUUGCGUAGAGAUCUGGAGGAAUACCGGUGGCGAAGGCGGCCCCCUGACAAAGACUGACGCUCAGGUGCGAAAGCGUGGGAGCAAACA